rnacentral:rRNA from 1 species
CCUACGGGGGGCAGCAGUGGGGAAUAUUGGUCAAUGGGCGAAAGCCUGAACCAGCAAUGCCGCGUGAGUGAUGAAGGCCUUCGGGUUGUAAAGCUCUGUCAGAGGGAACGAAAAAACUGCGUAACGAGCAGUCUUGACGGUACCCUCAAAGGAAGCACCGGCUAACUCUGUGCCAGCAGCCGCGGUAAUACAGAGGGUGCAAGCGUUGUUCGGAAUUACUGGGCGUAAAGCGCGUGUAGGCGGCUUUGUAAGUCAGACGUGAAAUCCCUCGGCUCAACCGAGGAACUGCGUCUGAUACUGCAUAGCUAGAGUGUCGGAGGGGAUGGUAGAAUUCCUGGUGUAGAGGUGAAAUUCGUAGAUAUCAGGAGGAAUACCUGUGGCGAAGGCGACCAUCUGGAAGACAACUGACGCUGAGACGCGAAAGCGUGGGUAGCAAACAGGAUUA